rnacentral:lncRNA from 1 species
GAGCAUACCUUUAUUUUCUCCAUUACUAAGUUUUUUGAGGAAGAGCUUGACUUCUGUAUCUGAAUCAGUGUUGCGGACCUCACCGUGCCUAGCACUGUAUUUUGUCCACAGUCAGUAGGUACCACAUAAAAGUUGGAAAAAAUGAUGCAAGUCAAGUCCUGGCUCUACUAGUUACUAGUUGCGUGACUACUGGAAAAGGCAGUCAUGUGCACCCUGCCUUUCGACCCCUGCAUGGUUCCAUAAAGAUGUACCUUGGGCCGGCACAUUUCCUAGCAAGGAAAUAAGGAGCCCUCACAACCUGAGCUGGCCACAUCUCUUUGUUUGGGAAUCCCUUUCCCUGUUCAGACCUUGAUGUGCAAAUUGUUGUUGUACUUAAGUGUGUGUGUCCUAUGGCAGUCAGUCAACUCCACUGCUCUAUCUGUUACCGGCAAGGAGGGAACAGAGUUCUUUGCCUGCAGCAUGAUAGAGGUAUGUGCAGACCCUCUUCCUGCAUCAGCCAGAGCAAGACUCACCGCCACUGUGGACUGAUGCUCCCUAUUGAAGCUAAUCUCACUCUGUUUAUUUUCCAUGUGUUAAAGCAUCUCUCCAUCAGUGUCUGUGUGAGUCAUGUCUUCCUUGGUGACCCUGAUGCCUGCAAACCCUGUAGCAGGUUGACAUUCUGGGACUGUUGCUCCUGGUGUCCAGGUCUGGAUUGAGACCUUGGGAGAAUGCAGAAUGAGCAGGGACCAGGUUGCUUCCUCAGACUCGAUGAAGAUUCUCAAAGGUGACUUAGCAGGGAAGGGAAGAGUGUGCAGGUGUUGGUGUAACCUGCCUGCUGAGAAGGAGAAGCAGGAAUAGAAUAAUCCCUAUGAGCCUGGGUGUCAAAGGCUAGAUGGAGCCUGAGAUGGCCCAUGAAAUUUCUCCAGGCUGGCACAGCCUUGGCACACUAGGCUGAUAGCUGUGCAUACUAGAAGGACCUGGAAUAAUAAUAAGAAGAAAUGGUGCAGCCAAUAAAGCUCCCUUCAGCAGCAAUCCAUAUGGACCAACCACCAAAGGGCUGAAAGGGGAUGAUGGAUACCCCAGCAGAGAGAAGUGUAGACAGAUGACACAAGGGCAUCAUGCCCCUCCCUUAGGACUUCCUAAGUCUCCUAUUAUUUCAGUGAAUUCCAGAGGAAAAGAGGAUGCUGAAUGAAAUAAAGUUUCUAUCACUCCAGCAGGGCAUGAUGAGAAAAUGGAACUG